rnacentral:rRNA from 1 species
CCUCCCUCUGGCGGCGUGCUUAACCCAUGCAAGUCGAACGGAAAGGCCCUGCUUUUGUGGGGUGCUCGAGUGGCGAACGGGUGAGUAACACGUGAGUAACCUGCCCUUGACUUUGGGAUAACUUCAGGAAACUGGGGCUAAUACCGGAUAGGAGCUCCUGCUGCAUGGUGGGGGUUGGAAAGUUUCGGCGGUUGGGGAUGGACUCGCGGCUUAUCAGCUUGUUGGUGGGGUAGUGGCUUACCAAGGCUUUGACGGGUAGCCGGCCUGAGAGGGUGACCGGCCACAUUGGGACUGAGAUACGGCCCAGACUCCUACGGGAGGCAGCAGUGGGGAAUAUUGCACAAUGGGCGGAAGCCUGAUGCAGCAACGCCGCGUGCGGGAUGACGGCCUUCGGGUUGUAAACCGCUUUCGCCUGUGACGAAGCGUGAGUGACGGUAAUGGGUAAAGAAGCACCGGCUAACUACGUG